AGAAACGCAAAAAUGCAAAAAAUUCAGUUAAACUUUAUCUUCUUCUGGCGUCACAUUUCGCGGUUCCAAUAAAAGUUAUGAAUACCAUUAACUGUCAGCUUCAAUUUAAUCACUCCACAGACAGUUCAUCCUCACUAAAACACUCUCCUCUCUGAUAAUUCAUUCUCAGUUACUUUUUCUCAAUGGAAUUUGAAGUAAAACAUGUCACCGGAGUAGAAAAUUGCUUCAUUUCACUCCCGCUUCAGCUCAUCCAAACCCUAGAAUCCACUCGACCCGGCGGAUUUCACUCUCAAAUUCUCACUCUCGAGCUCCGAUCUUCCUCCUCUAGCCACCGCCCCUGGCUCGUCGCUUGGUCCGGCGCCACCUCUUCCACCUCAGCAAUCGAAAUUGCUAGGCAAUUUGCGGAUUGUAUUUCGCUGCCGGACGGUAUCAGAGUUAAAAUUAGAGCGGUUCCUAAUGUGGCUAGUGCUGGUUCGGUUACGAUAGAGCCUAGUAGUGAAGAUGAUUGGGAAGUUAUGGAACUUAAUGCUGAACAAGCUGAGGCUGUUAUUUUGAAUCAGGUCAGGAUUGUUCAUGAAACAAUGAGAUUUCCGUUGUGGCUGCAUGGCCGUACCAUCGUCACAUUUCUUGUGGUUUCUACAGAUCCCAAGAAAGCGGUGGUUCAACUUGUGCCAGGAACUGAAGUUGCAGUUGCUCCUAAGAGACGCAAAACAGAUUUAAACAAACAGAAUCUGCGAGCAUCUAGUCAUGAGUUCAUUGGUACAAAGGCACUCUUGCGUCUUCAGGAUUCAGAUAGAAGACUGUUUCACAAAAGUGAAGUUAAAGGUGCUGAGCUUGGUGUGGUGCUCACUUCCGUUGCUUAUGUGCAUCCUGAAACUGCCACAAGAUUUUCAUUGGACGCUUGUCAGUUGGUCACCGUUGUGCCAAAAGUGUCACCAAAAGAGAAUAUAAAGACAGAGGAGAGUGAUGAUUUAAGAACGAAAAACUCUUCUGCUCCCAAGGAAUUCAAAAAUGAUAUUUCAUCUGACAAGAAGGAAUGUCGCCAAGCAUUUGUUCGCAUUUUAGUUUCAGAUUCAGUGGCAAAAGGACAUCUAAUGAUAGCACGGUCUCUUCGUCUCUAUUUGAGAGCAAGCUUGCACUCAUGGGUUUAUUUAAAGAUAUGCAGCAUGGAUUUGAAGGAGGAUUUUGCCUCCCUAUCACUUUCUCCUUGCCACUUUAAGAUGCUUGGGCUAGAUAAGGCUAUUGAUAAUUAUAAUUUAGAAGUGCUCAAUAACCAUAGAAUUCAAAAGCCAAAAAACUUUGUUUCGGGAUCUGGCUCAGUCUCUUAUAUAGGAACCACGGACUGGUCAAUUCAUGACAAAAUUAUUGCAGCUUUUUCAUAUGACUCUCCUCGCAAAGAAGAUGAAAAUCAAUCUGAUAAUAGGAAAGGAUUAAGAAGACUUCUGCAAGCUUGGUUUACUGCACAACUUGAUGCUAUUGCUUCAACUGCUGGAUCUGAAGCUAAGUCAUUAAUUUUAGGAAAAGAGACUAUACUUCACUUUGCAGUAAAUGAAUGUAGUGUGGAAUCUGAUAGGAAUUUUGAAGUACAUGCAACAUCUAAUUCAAAUGGAUUGCCCCAGAUUACAAAAAGCACUGGUGAAUUACCGCUUGAAUUUCUUUUUGUGCUGACUAUUUCUGAGGAAUCUCUGCAUGAUACACAAGUUAUCUCAUACAAGCUUCCUUUUGAUGAAAGCAUAACGGACAAUUUAGGAGGUCAUGGGUUGUAUGGAAAACUGAAGUUGGGUGAUCCUGUCUCCCUGUAUGCAAUCAAGGAGAGAAACUCCGACAAAGUAAUUAGUGAAAAUUUAUCAUCUUUGAGCUGGAUGGGAACUGCUAGUACUGAUGUAAUUAACAGGACCAUAGCGUUGUUGUCUCUCACUUCUGGGGUGCUGCUUGGCACUUAUAAUCUUCCUCUACCUGGACAUGUUCUGAUAUAUGGACCUCAUGGUUCUGGAAAGACUAUUCUAGCGAGGGCAGUUGCAAAAUCUCUUGAAGAACAUCAAGAUGUCUUAGCACACAUUGUUUUUGUAGGCUGCUCUCAGCUUGCUCUGGAAAAAGCCUCAACUAUUCGUCAAGCACUUUCUGCUUAUAUAUCUGAAGCUUUAGAUCAUGCACCAUCUCUCAUCAUAUUUGAUGAUCUAGAUACAAUUAUCUCAUCCUCUUCCGACUCAGAAGGACCACCUCAAUCUUCUACUUCUGUGGUUGCUCUCACAAAAUAUAUCACCGACAUUAUGGAUGAAUAUGGAGAGAAAAGGAAAGGCUCAUGUGGAAUUGGUCCUGUUGCCUUUAUAGCUUCUGUGCAGACUCUGGAGAGCAUUCCUCAGUCACUGAGUUCCUCGGGGCGGUUUGACUUCCAUGUGCAUCUGCCUGCUCCUGCUGCGUCAGAACGCCAGGCUAUUCUAAGACACGAAAUUCACAGACGAUCACUUCGAUGUCCAGACGAUAUCUUGCUAGAUGUAGCCUCCAAGUGCGAUGGUUAUGAUGCAUAUGAUCUGGAAAUAUUGGUCGAUAGAAGUGUACAUGCAGCUAUAGGCCGCUUUUUGCCCUCUCGUCUUGAAAAUCAUGAAGUACCCACUUUAGUCAGGGAUGAUUUUUCGCAGGCAAUGCAUGACUUCCUGCCGGUUGCCAUGCGUGAUAUUACUAAAUCUUCUCCUGAAAGUGGUCGCUCUGGGUGGGAUGAUGUUGGUGGUCGUAAGGACAUAAGAAAUGCUAUUAAAGAGAUGAUUGAACUACCUGCAAAGUUCCCAAAUAUUUUUGCUCGUGCUCCUCUAAGGUUGCGGUCUAAUGUUCUCUUAUAUGGCCCUCCUGGUUGUGGCAAGACGCACAUUGUUGGUGCUGCUGCUGCUGCUUGUUCACUGCGAUUUAUAUCAGUUAAAGGGCCUGAGCUGUUAAACAAGUAUAUUGGUGCUUCUGAGCAAGCUGUUCGUGAUAUUUUCUCAAAAGCCACUGCUGCAGCUCCAUGUCUUCUCUUUUUUGAUGAGUUUGAUUCGAUUGCGCCAAAACGGGGGCAUGAUAAUACUGGAGUAACUGAUCGUGUUGUCAAUCAAUUUCUCACCGAAUUAGACGGGGUUGAAGUAUUAACUGGUGUUUUUGUGUUUGCUGCUACAAGUAGGCCAGAUCUACUCGAUGCUGCAUUGCUGAGACCUGGUAGGCUAGAUCGCCUUAUUUUCUGCGAUUUUCCAUCUCCGCAGGAGAGGUCAGACAUCCUUAUGGUUCUUUCUAGAAAGCUGCCAUUGGCCAGUGAUGUUGAUUUAGACGCCAUAGCUUAUAUGACGGAAGGAUUUAGCGGAGCUGAUCUUCAAGCUCUUCUUUCAGAUGCUCAGCUUGCUGCAGUUCACGAACACCUGAAUUCAGACAGCAAGGAACCUGGGAGAAUGCCAGUCAUCACUGAUGCUGUGUUGAAGUCUGUCGCAUCUAAAGCAAGACCAUCUAUUUCCGAAUCUGAGAAGCAGAGACUGUAUGGUAUUUACAGCCAGUUUCUGGACUCAAAAAAAUCUGCUGCUGCCCAGUCAAGAGAUGCAAAAGGCAAACGAGCAACUCUAGCUUGAUAAAUAAUCAGAAUACUGCUGGUCAAAUCCAUUGAUGAGCUGGCACAUGAGCGGGUUUAACAUGGUAUCGGAGGAAAUCAAUUGAAGAUGUACCUAUGGAGCAAGAACUGUAAUUGUAGCAAUUACUAGAGAACAAUAUCAAAUGGUAUCUAAAGACAAACUUGGCAGCUGAUGGUUAGAAAGAAAAGCAGCAGUCCGAGCUUCAGCUCUUCUCUGCCAAUCAAUAUUUUGCCUAUUCAUCGCCUACUUUGGCAAGCUCUCUCCAGCUGAAAAAUUAUAGUAAUAUUUUGUGUCUGGACGUACCAUAUCUGCAUUGACAAAAUUAUAUUGAGAUUGUAAUAUUUCUAUAAAUUCAUGGUAUUUAUUGUCGGAAAAAAUUAUGCAAAAUGUUUGAAAGGGGAUUCUCACCUGUUACAA